GCUCCCUCUUCCAGAAUUUCUGUCCUCUCAUGGCUCAGGUGGUGGUGAGAUUGUUAACCAUGAGCGAUGAAAAGACAAAGCAGAAAGCCAUGGAAGCAGCCGCUGAUAUUCUGGGUAAAACCCUUGGACUUAAUUUCUCACCGCAUAUAUAUGAGAUUUGAAGAAAAUGUGCAGGUGUGGAUUCCAUCUCAGUAGAUGUGAUGGAGAAGGAGGUGACGGUGGUGGGAGAAAUGGAUGCAGUGGCCGUUGUCAAGAGACUCAAGAAAGUUGGUUAGGUAGAUAUUGUGUCGGUGGGGCCAGCAAAAGAAGACGAGAAGGUUGAAGAAAAGGUUCAAGACAUGAAGUAAGAAAUCACUCCACAUAAUAUAACAACUCCUCCUCCAUACUCUCCUAGUAGUCCAGUACAAGUAUAUCUUUUAAUUUCAUUUUGGUGUUCCAAUGUCAUUUCUAUCCCCUCAUAUAUGUAUAUUUCCUGCCCCUUACAUGUGAAAAUUGAAAUCAAUAGUAAUUGGUGAUGACGUGCACGCUGCACAAAAGUAUGUAUGUAGCUCAACUAUCUACUACUACUACUAAUUUGGUUCACAUUUGUGCCAGUUAAUAUUAUCUGUUGCCAUCAGGCCAGCUCUUCAUGACUA